AUUGAACGCUGGCGGCAUGCCUUACACAUGCAAGUCGAACGGCAGCAUGGAGAGCUUGCUCUCUGAUGGCGAGUGGCGAACGGGUGAGUAAUGCAUCGGAACGUACCGUGUAAUGGGGGAUAACGUAGCGAAAGUUACGCUAAUACAGCAUACGACCUGAGGGUGAAAGCAGGGGAUCGCAAGACCUUGCGUUAUACGAGCGGCCGAUGUCAGAGUAGCUAGUUGGUGAGGUAAAGGCUCACCAAGGAGACGAUCUGUAGCGGGUCUGAGAGGAUGAUCCGCCACACUGGGACUGAGGCACGGCCCAGACUCCUACGGGAGGCAGCAGUGGGGAAUUUUGGACAAUGGGGGCAACCCUGAUCCAGCCAUGCCGCGUGAGUGAAGAAGGCCUUCGGGUUGUAAAGCUCUUUCGGCCGGGAAGAAAUCGCACAGGCUAAUACUCUGUGUGGAUGACGGUACCGGCAUAAGAAGCACCGGCUAACUACGUGCCAGCCGCCGCGGUAA
rnacentral:rRNA from 1 species